AUGAAGAAAUUUAAUCCAAAUUUUUCCCUUUUUUUAUUGAGAAAUGUCCCAGUUUGGGCUGAGGGGUCACUCAGUGGUCACUCAGUGGUCACUCAGCGGUCACUCAGUGGUCACUCAGUGGUCACUCAGUGGUCACUCAGUGGUCACUCAGGGUCAGUGGUCACUCAGUGGUCACUCAGUGGUCACUCACUGGUCAGUGGUCACUCAGCGGUCACUCAGCGGUCACUCACUGGUCAGCGGUCACUCAGUGGUCACUCAGGGUCACUCAGUGGUCACUCAGUGGUCACUCAGCGGUCACUCAGUGGUCACUCACUGGUCAGUGGUCACUCAGCGGUCACUCACUGGUCACUCACUGGUCAGUGGUCACUCAGUGGUCACUCAGGGUCACUCCCGGCCGCAGAACGCCGCGUGCGCCCCCAGUCCGGCCGCUCCGGCCGCAGCGAUGGCGACUUCGGCCCCCAGAGUGACCACAGCGAUGGCCAGCGGCUGCUGGGGGAGGGGCACCUGCGGACAGGGGUCAGAGGUCACGCGGGGUCACUCGGGGGUCACUCGGGGGUCACUCAGUGGUCACUCAGGGUCAGUGGUCACUCAGUGGUCACUCAUUGGUCACUCAGGGGUCAUUUUGGGCCAUUUUUGGGGCAUUUUGGGUCAGUGGUCACUCAGGGGUCACUCAAUGGUCACUCAUUGGUCAGUGGCCACUCAGGGGUCACUCUGGGGUCACUCGGGGUCAUUGGUCACUCAAGGGUCACUCAGGGGUCAUUUAGGGGCCAUUUUGGGUCAGUGGUCACUCAGGGGUCACUCAGGCGUUACUCAGGGUCAUUGGUCACUCAGUGGUCACUCAGGGGUCACUCAAUGGUCACUCAUUGGUCAGUGGUCACUCAUUGGUCACUCAAUGGCCACUCAUUGGUCAGUGGUCACUCCGGGGUCACUCAGUGGUCACUCAGUGGUCACUCAGGGUCACUCAGGGGUCACUCAUUGGUCACUCAGCGGUCACUCAGGGGUCACUCAUUGGUCACUCAGGGGUCACCGCGGGGUCAAAGGUCACUGACCUGCUCGCCCAGGUUGCUGAAGGCGUUCCCGUAGGCCCCGCCCCCCACAAGCCCCUCCCCCAGCGCCAGCGCCGCGGCCACGCCCAGCCCGGGCAGGAGGUGAUUGACAGCCACGGCGGCCAAUAGGAACGAGG
rnacentral:lncRNA from 1 species